AUUGAACGCUGGCGGCAUGCCUUACACAUGCAAGUCGAACGGCAGCACGGGGGCAACCCUGGUGGCGAGUGGCGGACGGGUGAGUAAAGCAUCGGAACGUAUCCUGGAGUGGGGGAUAACGUAGCGAAAGUUACGCUAAUACCGCAUAUUCUGUGAGCAGGAAAGCAGGGGAUCGCAAGACCUUGCGCUCUGGGAGCGGCCGAUGUCGGAUUAGCUAGUUGGUGGGGUAAAGGCCUACCAAGGCGACGAUCCGUAGCGGGUCUGAGAGGAUGAUCCGCCACACUGGGACUGAGACACGGCCCAGACUCCUACGGGAGGCAGCAGUGGGGAAUUUUGGACAAUGGGCGCAAGCCUGAUCCAGCCAUGCCGCGUGAGUGAAGAAGGCCUUCGGGUU
rnacentral:rRNA from 1 species